UAUGUCGGACGUUCUUCUUAGAGGGACAAGCGGCUUUUAGCCGCACGAGACAGAGCAAUAACAGGUCUGUGAUGCCCUUAGAUGUCCGGGGCCGCACGCGCGCUACACUGAAGGAAUCAGCGUGUGCUUUCCCUGUCUGUUAGGACUGGGUAACCCGUUAAACCUCCUUCGUGAUAGGGAUAGGGAUUUGUAAUUGUUCCCUUGAACGAGGAAUUCCCAGUAAGCACGAGUCAUAAGCUCGUGUUGAUUACGUCCCUGCCCUUUGUACACACC
rnacentral:rRNA from 1 species